CAGCCGCCACGGGAAUACGUAGGGUGCGAGCGUUGUCCGGAAUUAUUGGGCGUAAAGAGCUUGUAGGCGGUCUGUCGCGUCUGCUGCGAAAACCCGAGGCUCAACCUCGGGCCUGCAGUGGGUACGGGCAGACUAGAGUGCGGUAGGGGAGAACGGAACUCCUGGUGUAGCGGUGGAAUGCGCAGAUAUCAGGAAGAACACCGAUGGCGAAGGCAGUUCUCUGGGCCGUAACUGACGCUGAGAAGCGAAAGCGUGGGGAGCGAACAGGAUUAGAUACCCCCGUAGUCCCUGUCUCUUAUAC
rnacentral:rRNA from 1 species